UGGGGCGUAGCCAAGUGGUAAGGCAGCGGAUUUUGAUUCCGCCAUUCGGAGGUUCGAUCCCUCCCGCCCCAG
rnacentral:tRNA from 4 species